AUUGAACGCUGGCGGCAGGCUUAACACAUGCAAGUCGAGCGAGCGGCGGACGGGAGGGUAAGGUAUGGGAAACGGACUGAUGGAGGGGGAUAGAUAAUGGGCACUGUUACUGAUACCGCAUACAAUCAGAUGGGCCCAAAUGGGAUUAGCUAGUGGGUGGGGUAAUGGCUCACCUAGGCGACGAUCCCUAGCUGGUCUGAGAGGAUGACCAGCAACACUGGAACUGAGACACGGUCCAGACUCCUACGGGAGGCAGCAGUGGGGAAUAUUGCACAAUGGGCGCAAGCCUGAUGCAGCCAUGCCGCGUGUGUGAAGAAGGCCUUCGGGUUGUAAAGCACUUUCAGUUAGGAGGCGUUACUCACAGAAGAAGCACCGGCUAACUACGUGCCAGCAGCCGCGGUAAUAC
rnacentral:rRNA from 1 species